UNGGUAAAGGCCGUUCUGUUGGCAAGUGAU
rnacentral:piRNA from 1 species